rnacentral:rRNA from 1 species
GAUGAACGCUGGCGGCGUGCCUAACACAUGCAAGUCGAGCGAUUCUCUUCGGAGAAGAGCGGCGGACGGGUGAGUAACGCGUGGGUAACCUGCCCUGUACACACGGAUAACAUACCGAAAGGUAUGCUAAUACGAGAUAAUAUGCUUUUGUCGCAUGGUAGAAGUAUCAAAGCUCCGGCGGUACAGGAUGGACCCGCGUCUGAUUAGCUAGUUGGUAAGGUAACGGCUUACCAAGGCGACGAUCAGUAGCCGACCUGAGAGGGUGAUCGGCCACGUUGGAACUGAGACACGGUCCAAACUCCUACGGGAGGCAGCAGUGGGGAAUAUUGCGCAAUGGGCGAAAGCCUGAUGCAGCAACGCCGCGUGAGCGAUGAAGGCCUUCGGGUCGUAAAGCUCUGUCCUCAAGGAAGAUAAUGACGGUACUUGAGGAGGAAGCCCCGGCUAACUACGUGCCAGCCGCCGCCGUAA